GAUGAAGAACGUAGUGAAUUGCGAUAAGUAAUGUGAAUUGCAGAAUUCAGUGAAUCAUCGAAUCUUUGAACGCAACUUGCGCUCUCUGGUAUUCCGGAGAGCAUGCCUGUUUGAGUGUCAUGAAAUCUCAACCAUUAGGGUUUCUUAAUGGCUUGGAUUUGGAGGUUUGCCAGUCUAACUGGCUCCUCUUAAAGGAGUUAGCAAGUUUGACUAUUGCUAUCUGGCGUAAUAAGUUUCGCUGGAAUGGUAUUGUGAAGCGUGCUUCUAAUCGUCUUCUGGACAAUUAUUUUGACUCUGGCCUCAAAUCAGGUAGGACUACCCGCUGAACUUAAGCAUAUCAAUAAGCGGAGGA
rnacentral:misc_RNA from 1 species